GAUCGGCGUACAGCACCGGGGACGUGUCCCCAAUGCGGUGCCGAGGGGAGCAAGCCACAGCAACAGCACCCAUUAGGGUGGAAAGCUGAAAAAUCACGCGUCGGGUAGAGUUUGGUAGGUCAUUACUUGAUUCGAAGAAGUCAGACCCG
rnacentral:ncRNA from 1 species